rnacentral:rRNA from 1 species
GACGAACGCUGGCGGCGUGCUUAACACAUGCAAGUCGAACGACGAAGCCGGAGCUUGCUCUGGUGAAUUAGUGGCGAACGGGUGAGUAACACGUGAGUAACCUGCCCUUGACUCUGGGAUAACUGCUAGAAAUGGUAGCUAAUACCGGAUACGACCCUCGGAGGCAUCUCCAGGGGGUGGAAAGAAUUUCGGUCAAGGAUGGACUCGCGGCCUAUCAGCUAGUUGGUGAGGUAAUGGCUCACCAAGGCGACGACGGGUAGCCGGCCUGAGAGGGUGACCGGCCACACUGGGACUGAGACACGGCCCAGACUCCUACGGGAGGAAGCAGUGGGGAAUAUUGCACAAUGGGCGCAAGCCUGAUGCAGCAACGCCGCGUGAGGGACGACGGCCUUCGGGUUGUAAACCUCUUUUAGUAGGGAAGAAGCGAAAGUGACGGUACCUGCAGGAAAAGCACCGGCUAACUACGUGCCAGCAGCCGCCGUAA